AUGCGAUCAGAUUCAGCAUAUUCUUCCUUUAAGUUUCUUCACUUUCCUUUGAUUCUUAAACCAUCACCAUGCGACCCGGUCACAUCAUGUAUCAAGAAUCUCAGAAUAGAAACUUAACAGAGUUAGAUAGUGGAUUUUACCUGAAGUAGAGUCAAACUUAUUGACUUUAACAUCCUUAGGUAAAUUUGGCAGCUUCGCAACCAAUGCCCUUUCUUUGGCAAUACAAACAUAUGGACCCUUUGAUAAUGGUACACAGGACUAUCACAGACUUAGCUUUUCUCUUUACCAUUUGGUCAACCGAGUUGACUAUAGCCGAUCCCUUUCCAUUGGGAAGAGAAUGCUUUACUGGAUAUCCAAUGUCAUCAUUGUCAAUGUCCAUAAAGUUUUAGGAAGUUGAUCUUAACAAAUAGAUAAGAUCAUUAAGGGUCUUGUCAUAGUCUUUUUCAUAGGUGUUCCAAAAGAACUCACUAUGUGACUUAGAAAGUAGUUGAACCACCAACUUUCUCAAGACUUUGACACCCAACUCUCCCGGCUUGUCAAUAUGUGACUACAUCUCCAAGAUGUGACCACACCUAGACCUUGCCUUGCCUAAUAGGGCCUGAGUGACCUUAAACUUUUCAAGAACUUGUGGGUUAGGGAGAAUAAUUUGAAGAGGUGAAGAAGUAUGAUAUCCAUGGGACAUCAUCUUCAUUAGGAAACCUUGUUUCAAGAGAUUUGGGAAGAUCAUAGGUGUCUAAACCAGACAUUUUUUGGGAGAUAUUCAAGAUAGUUGAUUUUAAAGUCCUUAAUAUGACACCCAAUAUGAAAUAUUAAGGCUAGGACCCAACAAACUAUUUUAUAACUUAGAAGAGGUAUGCCGUAAUCCAAGCUAUAAAAUAUUUGAAGGUAGGUGAAUGACGAUUCACCAAUUUCCACCAAGAUAAACGAAAUGUAUUAUUAGGUUUUAAUUGGUUUUGAAACUCCUAGAUCUUUGAGAUUCAUUGAACUGUUCAAAGGCAUGUUUCAAUCUCGAGUGUGCCCUUCAGGUUUUGUGACUGGGAUGUCGAGGAUCACAAAACAAGGUGUGAAGUAACCAUGCAAAUUACUUGGUACCCUUAAGUGUUUACCCCUUAAUCGAUGUGCCGGUUAACCACACACGCUUCAUCGAUACUAUGAUAAACAUUAACUUACCCUCUGCCUACCUUGUUAAAUAUGAGCUAGUGUGCCGGUUAACCACACACGCUCCACUAACCGACUUAAACAAAGUGCAAAGUGUAAUUUCAUGGAUUAGCACCUUAUUCACAUUUUCCUAAGUAACUAAGAUUGGGUAUUAUUAAGAGUUUAGUUACUUAGUAUUUAUCAUUAAUACUUUUAAUGAAGGGAGAAUUAUAGUCCUGUCAAACCCGUUCGGCUAACGACCCUCCACCAGUCAAGCAAGCGGUGGGUGAGAGUGGACACCCAUUAAGUUGCCAUUUUAUAGGCAACAACCUUAUACCCACCUUAUAGACCGGCUUCGUGAAUGAGGCGUACUAGCGGUAAGACUGACUUUACUCUUAUACAUAUAUAUAUUAUUAACUUAUAAUAUUAUAAAGUAUAAGGGUUGAAUUUUAACUUUUAAAAUUCUAAGGGCUAACUUGGAAUUAAAGUAUUCAUAAGUGAAAACUUUACAAAUUCCAAAACUUGAGGGCAAGUUUUGAAACUAUUCAAAACUAAUUAAUUCCAUAACUUAUGUGUUUAAAGUAGUUUUAAUCCAAAAACUCUUCAAGUUCCAUAACUUGAGGACAAGUUAUGGAAGACUUUAAACUAAUAAAAGAAUUAACUUUUCUUUAUUUUAUAACUUAUGGAAUUAAUUAAGGUUACACUUUUUUUUUUUUUAUUUUAUUUUAUUAAAUGAAGAGACUCUUGGUCCUCCAUAACUUGAGGACAAGUUAUGGAGUCAUAAAACCAUUUAAUUAGAACUAGACUCUUCAUUUUUGUAACCUUUGCCAAUUUUUAUGAGUUUUAUGAUUCUUAAAUGUGACUUUUCAUAUAACUUGAGGACAAGUUACAAAAACACAUUUUAGAAUCAAUUCUUAGAUUAAUUUGGAUUAAAACCAACUAUCACAUAAUUUUAUUCAUUAAUCUAAAUUCACUCAUAAAACAAGGUAACACAAAAAACUUUUGGUGAUCCAUAACUUAUUCUUAAGUUAUGGAAUCCUUUAAAACAUUAACACCAAAUUUUGUAACUCCAAAAAAACUUUGAAUCAAUUUUUUUUUUAAAACCUUUUCAUAUCCAUAACUUAUGGAGGUUUCAAAAAAUAAAACUCUUUAGAUCAAACUUUUAAAACUAAUAAAAUAAUCAUAUUAUUUUAUCUUUUAUUAAAUUUGACCUAAUUCAACUCAUAAAGCAAAUUAUUCAAAUUUUACAAAUAAUUAGUUUUUCACAAGAACAAGUAAUUAUCUUAAAAUUUGACAAACUUCAUGUUUUUUUUUUUUUUUUUUUUCAACUUUGAAAAUAAAAUAUUUGCAUCAAUAUAACAGAAAACAACCCGUGGCUCUGAUACCACUGUUGGGUUUUGAGCAUUCUAACACUUCCUAAGUGUACAUGCAACCCUAAAU
rnacentral:lncRNA from 1 species